UAGGGAAUCUUCGGCAAUGGACGGAAGUCUGAUCGAGCAACGCCGCGUGAGUGAAGAAGGUUUUCGGAUCGUAAAGCUCUGUUGUAAGAGAAGAACGAGUGUGAGAGUGGAAAGUUCACACUGUGACGGUAUCUUACCAGAAAGGGACGGCUAACUACGUGCCAGCAGCCGCGGUAAUACGUAGGUCCCGAGCGUUGUCCGGAUUUAUUGGGCGUAAAGCGAGCGCAGGCGGUUAGAUAAGUCUGAAGUUAAAGGCUGUGGCUUAACCAUAGUACGCUUUGGAAACUGUUUAACUUGAGUGCAAGAGGGGAGAGUGGAAUUCCAUGUGUAGCGGUGAAAUGCGUAGAUAUAUGGAGGAACACCGGUGGCGAAAGCGGCUCUCUGGCUUGUAACUGACGCUGAGGCUCGAAAGCGUGGGGAGCAAACAGGAUUAGAUACCCUGGUAGUCCACGCCGUAAACGAUGAGUGCUAGGUGUUAGACCCUUUCUGGGGUUUAGUGUCGCAGCUAACGCAUUAAGCACUCCGCCUGGGGAGUACGACCGCAAGGUUG
rnacentral:rRNA from 1 species